GACGAACGCUGGCGGCGUGCUUAACACAUGCAAGUCGAGCGGAAAGGCCCUUCGGGGUACUCGAGCGGCGAACGGGUGAGUAACACGUGAGUAAUCUGCCCCUCACUCAGGGAUAACCGCGGGAAGCUGCGGCUAAUACUUGAUAUGACCACGUCUCGCAUGGGGUGUGGUGGAAAGCGUUUAGUGGUGAGGGAUGUGCUCGCGGCCUAUCAGCUUGUUGGGGAGGUAGUGGCUAACCAAGGCUUCGACGGGUAGCCGGCCUGAGAGGGUGACCGGCCACACUGGGACUGAGACACGGCCCAGACUCCUACGGGAGGCAGCAGUGGGGAAUAUUGGACAAUGGGCGAAAGCCUGAUCCAGCAACGCCGCGUGAGGGAUGACGGCCUUCGGGUUGUAAACCUCUUUCACCUCUGACGAAGCGCAAGUGACGGUAAGGGGAGAAGAAGGACCGGCCAACUACGUGCCAGCAGCCGCCGUAACAC
rnacentral:rRNA from 1 species